AGACGCCCAUUGGAGGACAGGGGCAGUAGGCGCGCCGGCUCGAAGGGCACGGCCAGGGCCUCGCCGCCGCCGCAGUAGGAGAGGCGCGGGGGCUCGGAGCCAGCGGCCAGCAGGAAAAGCUGUAGAGAGGCAGACCGUGGCCCUUGAGUCCCAGGGGGAAUCCCGACAGAGCCGGCCCCAGGGAGAGAAGGCCUGGGCGGGCCUGAGCCCGGGCCAGUGUCCGCUUUCUUUGCUCGUCUGUGCACACCGUGUGCAGGGAGGCGCGUGGAAGAAACCCGGCACCAGGCCCCGCCUCUCACGGGAGCCUCCCUCAGGCCCCGGCCCCGCCCACCUGGCCCUGAUGAUCCACGUAGUAAAAGUACUCGCGCGUCCGCGGCUCUGGGC